rnacentral:lncRNA from 1 species
AUGUGCAUCGCUAUGUUGGGAAGGAGCCAAGUGGAUUAAGAUUCAACAAGCUCUUUUUGAAUGAAGAUGAUAAACCACAUAAUCCGAUGGUAAAUGCUGGAGCAAUUGUUGUGACUUCACUAAUAAAGGAUUGGUGGUGAUCCUCAGGAAAUGGGGGAAGAGGCAAAGCAAAUGUUCAAAAGGAUUAGCAGAUUGUGGAAAAAGGAGGAUUUGGACAGAAGGAGCCUGUUGCAUUAAUUCUUAACCACUAAGCUUAUAGGAAAACUCCAAUAUUUAAAAUUUUAAACAAAGCUAUAUAGGUAAAUACCUUUUUAAAAACAAAUGUAAUUUUACACUUAAAAUGCACAUAAUUAAAAGACAAGGAUUACUAUUCUUACUCGCUUUUUUCCU